rnacentral:hammerhead_ribozyme from 1 species
GGCCGAAACCCCGGACUAGCCGGGGUCGCCGGGUGAAGCCCGGCCUGAUGAGGCAAGGAAAG